rnacentral:piRNA from 1 species
UACUGUGUAAAAUAAUUUUCAUGGCUG